rnacentral:rRNA from 1 species
CCUACGGGCGGCUGCAGUCGAGAAUAUUGGACAAUGGGCGAAAGCCUGAUCCAGCGACAUUGCGUGGAGGAUGAAGACGUUCGCGCCGUAAACUCCUUUUAUAGGGAAAGAAGUAAUUGACGGUACCCUAUGAAUAAGCGGGGGCUAAUUCUGUGCCAGCAGCAGCGGUAAUACAGAACCCGCAAGCGUUAUCCGGAUUUAUUGGGCGUAAAGUGUUCGUAGGCGGUUCGGAAAGUCUGAUAUCAAAUAUCCGGGCUCAACCCGGGGCGAGUAUUGGAAACUUCCGAACUUGAAGGUGCUAGGGGCUAUCGGAACGCACGGUGUAGGGGUGAAAUCCGUUGAUAUCGUGCGGAACACCAAAAGCGAAGGCAGAUAGCUGGGGCAUUCUUGACGCUGAGGAACGAAAGCGUGGGGAGCAAACAGGAUUAGAUACCCCAGUAGUC